UACGUAGGGGGCAAGCGUUGUCCGGAAUCAUUGGGCGUAAAGAGCGUGUAGGCGGCCAGAUAAGUCCGCUGUGAAAUCUCGAGGCUCAACUUCGAGCUGUCGGUGGAAACUGUCUGGCUAGAGUCCGGAAGAGGCGAGUGGAAUUCCCGGUGUAGCGGUGAAGUGCGCAGAUAUCGGGAGGAACACCAAUGGCGAAGGCAGCUCGCUGGGACGGUACUGACGCUGAGACGCGAAAGCGUGGGGAGCGAACAGG
rnacentral:rRNA from 1 species